rnacentral:rRNA from 1 species
UGGGGAAUUUUGGACAAUGGGCGAAAGCCUGAUCCAGCAAUGCCGCGUGUGUGAAGAAGGCCUUCGGGUUGUAAAGCACUUUUGUCCGGAAAGAAAUCCUUGGGCUCUAAUACAGUCGGGGGAUGACGGUACCGGAAGAAUAAGCACCGGCUAACUACGUGCCAGCAGCCGCGGUAAUACGUAGGGUGCAAGCGUUAAUCGGAAUUACUGGGCGUAAAGCGUGCGCAGGCGGUUUGCUAAGACCGAUGUGAAAUCCCCGGGCUCAACCUGGGAACUGCAUUGGUGACUGGCAGGCUAGAGUAUGGCAGAGGGGGGUAGAAUUCCACGUGUAGCAGUGAAAUGCGUAGAGAUGUGGAGGAAUACCGAUGGCGAAGGCAGCCCCCUGGGCCAAUACUGACGCUCAUGCACGAAAGCGUGGGGAGCAAACAGGAUUAGAUACCCUGGUAGUCCACGCCCUAAACGAUGUCAACUAGUUGUUGGGGAUUCAUUUCCUUAGUAACGUAGCUAACGCGUAAAAGUUUGACCGCCUGGGGAGUACGGUCGCAAGAUUAAAACUC